CGGGUGAAAGAGAGGAGAGUGAAAUUUUCUUAUCAGUUGCGAACAACUCCUUCCUCUCCCCAGUUCCCCCAGUAACACCACCAGGUCGUUUCUACAUCAUUCCAAUUUGUGUUUGUACCGGGGCUUUGGAUGUGUGUCAGAUAAAAUGUGUAAGAAAAUAUGAGCUUCAUUGAAAAUGCAACGAAGAAAGGAGUCUUUAAUUAAAGGGAUUGUCACGUUGCCCCUAACCAGUCCCAGCACUUUCAGUCAGGCUUCGACCUUUGGGUUCUGUACUGGCCACUUUUGUAUGUGAACUUGACACAGGCUAGAAUCAUCGCGGCAGAAAGGAGCUUCACCUGGAAAUGCUUCCACGAGAUCCAGCCGUAAGGCAGAAAGCAAAACUUCCGUCAACACACCGAAUGAAAAACAGAAAUAAAAAGGAGGAGGAUGCGACUACUUCUUAGAUGGUGUCACUAAGCAGUCUGUGAUUGUCCUACUUCUGCCUUGCAAGUCGCUGAAAUAAAACAAACGAACAAACAAACAAACA
rnacentral:sRNA from 1 species